ACAAACAACAGUGUAUGGCAGGACUGGUAAAGUUUGCUCAGACACAUUUUUCCAGAGCUUCAUGGAGCGGGUCAUCAGCUCCUACGAAGUGGACAAGUUGUGCUCAGAGCAACCAUUCGCCUGCACAACCUGUCCCCUCAGAUGUUGGCUGUGUCUGUGGAUGGAAACAGGAAGCACUACUGCUUCAAAAAGGGUGGACAGUCAGUGUAUAUUUCAUGUUUCAUGGUCUAGGCAUGUCCAUGUCUCAGCUCUCAUUUGUUACACCACUCUGAGGAAGGGGGUUAUUUUGACGGUGUGCUCAUCUGCAAGGAUAACGAGGUUGCAGUAUUUGCGGACGACCUCCAAAAGAGGGCCAAGCAUUUGCCAGGUAAAGGUGUUUGUGGCAGGUCUCAGCUGAACGCAGCAAAGGAGACAACAAGCAAGAGGGCUUGUUCCAGCCUUGAUGAGCAAGGUCUAAAGUAGCAGUGUGCCGUCGUGGCAUUAUCCUUCGGGCCCUGAAUAUGUACAGGCAA